GCCGGGGUCGCGUAGCGGCAAUCGCUCCAGUCUGUAAAACUGGCGACCGUAAGGUCUUCGGAGGUUCGAGUCCUCCCCCCGGCA
rnacentral:tRNA from 1 species